GGUUCCGGUCACUUCCGCCUGUCGGAACCCCGUUUCCCGCAGCCGCGCUAAUUCCGGCGCCCGGAACCUGGCGGGGACGGCGUGGAGUCCGACCCGAGACGCGGCCGAGGCUGCGGCCACGACCGGCCUGCAGCCCCAGAUGGAGAGCGGAGCCUAGCGGGCCCGGCCCGGCGGCGGGGACUUGCAGGCCCCCGAUACCCGGGCGCAGGAGCCGACACCCAGCCCUGAGCCAAUCCCGCCCUGGCCCCGGAGGGACUCCCGGGCGCCCUUCCCCGUGGCUCGCCGACUUCCCUCGGUGACGAAGUUUUCUCCUGUGCCUUCCCGAGGAGGAUCGCUCUCUAGCUCUAGGGCUCGCCUUCUGGCGGACUUGCUUGGUUCGCUUUGGGAGAGUUGAGCCUGGUCGUGGAGCGCUGGGGGUGGCGUGGUGUCAGCUGUAAGAUGCAAAUUGGAUAAAAGGAGGACCUCUCCCCAAGGGCCCCAAUGAAUGGCACACAGUCUACUAUCACCGACGGUGAAAGGAUACAGACUAAAAUCAGCAAAAGGAAGAGAAGCAUGGGGAAUGGUCCAGGA